GAGGCUGGGGUGGAUCGGCUGCCUGCUGUCUCUGACUGGAAGCCACUACCUUUAGGGCAGGGACUCCGACUACUUCACUCGCCACCAGAUCAUCUGGGUUUUGACUCUGUUGUUAGGUACAGAGCAGAAUUUUGAAGAUGCAUUAAUUCUUUCAAGUCAUGAAGGCAGUGUACAAGAGCAAGUUACAAAAUGGCAUCCUGAGACCAAAAUAACCAAUGAAUUAUCUUACAGAGACUUGCUUGCUUUGCUUCCUCUUUUCACAACAAAAAGACAGACAUUAUUAAUUUUUAAAAAAUUACUAUUUGAGCUUUCGGAGAGCCAGCCAAGGAAUCAUGGAUGUAUGAUAUUUGACCUAGAUUUUGAAGACAGUUUCUACAAAGAGAAAAGUGAGCAAUGGCCAUGCAGGUGAUGAAGACAGUCUUCGAGAAGAUGGGGAAACAUAGAAACAUAUGACCUGCUCAAAAGUACAAGAGAUUUUGCGUGACUAAAAGUGGUAUGGGAGGGCCAUCCCAGAGAAAGAAGAUGCAAAGUUGUGCUGACAGCAGACCUUCAAGCACCUCAAAUUCCAGGACAACCAGAAGUCUUUCCUUAAGCAAGAAGCAGUCCUUGAAACAUGUGAUAAGAAAUGCACUUUGGAUACUUUUGCAAGAGUUCAUGUAAGCUAUAUUAGUUACCAGAAUUAGCAAAUAAAAAUACAAGAUACCCAGUUAAAUUUGAAUUUCAGCUAAAGAUAUAUUUUUCUAGUGAAAGUGUGUUCCGUGCAAUAUUUAUGACAUAGUUAUGUUAAACUUAUUUGUUGUUUAUUUGAAAUUCAAAUAUUAUUGGGCAUCCUUGCAACCCUUAGCAUAAUCAGGGCCUUUCACUUGGAUUUCCUAAUACCAGGGGCUAAC
rnacentral:lncRNA from 1 species